AUUGAACGCUGGCGGCAUGCCUUACACAUGCAAGUCGAACGGCAGCAUGAUCUAGCUUGCUAGAUUGAUGGCGAGUGGCGAACGGGUGAGUAAUACAUCGGAACGUGCCCUGUAGUGGGGGAUAACUAGUCGAAAGAUUAGCUAAUACCGCAUACGACCUGAGGGUGAAAGUGGGGGACCGCAAGACCUCAUGCUAUAGGAGCGGCCGAUGUCUGAUUAGCUAGUUGGUGAGGUAAAGGCUCACCAAGGCGACGAUCAGUAGCUGGUCUGAGAGGACGAUCAGCCACACUGGGACUGAGACACGGCCCAGACUCCUACGGGAGGCAGCAGUGGGGAAUUUUGGACAAUGGGCGAAAGCCUGAUCCAGCAAUGCCGCGUGUGUGAAGAAGGCCUUCGGGUUGUAAAGCACUUUUGUCCGGAAAGAAAUGGCUCUGGUUAAUACCUGGGGUCGAUGACGGUACCGGAAGAAUAAGGACCGGCUAACUACGUG
rnacentral:rRNA from 1 species